UGUAUCAAUUCUCACAAAAAUAAGUUGAUAUAAAAGUCUAAGUCUAGGGGACAGUGUUGUGGCGUAGCAGGUAAAGCUGCUGUUUUGGAUGCUGGCAUCCCACACGGAUGCCAGUUCACAUCUCGGCUGCUCCACUUCUAAUCCAGUUGACUGCUAAUGCCCCAAGAAAGGCAGUGGACAAUGCCCUGCUACCUCUGUGGGAGAUCUGGAUGAAGUUCCAGGCUUUGUGAUGGGCAUCUGGGAGAGUGAACCCCUGAAUGGAAGCACUCUCUCUCUCUCUCUCUGCCUCUCUCUCUCUUUCCGUAAUUCUGAAUUUCAAAAAAUUAGUAAAUCAAAAACAGAAAGGAAAAAAGAUAAAGAAAGAAGGAUGGAAGCCUAAGCCUAGCCUCUGAGUGGCUCUGGCUAUCUGUUUCAUUGUGUGGGCUCCAUGUGAGUUCAUCCAUUCUCAUGCUCUUCUGUCAUGUGUUCCAUCUGCCAUGAUCUGAUGCAUCAUGGCCUCACGUGAUGGGGUCUCCUUAGAGGUCAGCAUUGGUCAUGUGCCUCAAUCUUGGACUUUCAGUCUCCAAAACUAUGAGGUAAGCAAAAAUCUUUUCUUUAUAAGUUACCCAGUCUCACAUAUUUCAUUAUAGCAAUACAAAGCAGACCAAUAUACAUGAGGAGUAGCAAUUACAGGAAAUAGUUAAUAUUCUUAGGAUUAGAGAAACAACAACAACAACAACAAAAGAGGUUGAUACUACUAAAACCUAAACACACGGAGGAGGGGCAGUCCCAAGGAAGUGAAACUCAGACCUCUGAGGCAGAAGCUGCCCGACAGAUAGUGGCACAUGUAAGCCUCAGAGAGGGAGCUCUCCUUGGGCCUGAUUCCUAUACAGUGGCUGUCUGCGGACUGGUGCCAAAACCUAUGGCAUCAGAUGUGGUGGAACUGGUCAUGCAAGUGUUAGAGAAGCUGAAAACUGUAUUCAUCUGCUGCUACGAAGAGAAACUGGUGUCACAAGGGUAAAAACAAGCGUUAGGGUAACGCUCACAAGGAAGGCAAAGGUCGGCUCCACAUGGAACCCGUGUAAGGGAAAAGGACAGUAAGGCCAGAUUGUAUUUAGAAACUAGUUUAAUUGCCCCCAUACACAAAAUAAAUAUCAAGGCCACAAAAUUUUAGAACAUAAGUCAUAUUCAACAUGGUUUUGAAACAAAUUACUUAUCUGCUGUCAUGGUCAGUGAAAAAACAUUUUAAACUCCUACAAAAGAUUAUCACUAAAUAUCUGGUUAUAAGAGACAUAAAUUCAAAUUGAAUAUUUCAAUUCCCUCAGACUUUCAUUUGCUAAAAUUGAAAUCACUUAAGGCAUGAUUAUUAGAGAAGGGAAGAUGCAAAUGAUAAAAUACCAACUAUGCAUGUAACAUUUUUGGAAUUUAUAAAGCAAUAUCCAAUCUAGAAGUUUUUGGUGAUACUGUUAUUCAUACAUUGUUGGUGGAAUCUAGAAAAUAAGUUGAAAAUAUACUCACAGAAGCUCAAAACUUUCAAAUGUGUUGAUCAUUGAUUUAAUCAGUGUAGGUUUACAUUCUUAGGUAAUAAGAGCUUCAAACAGAUUUAGGUGCAAAGAACUUUAUUGAUGUUUAUUAUAUUGAAAUUUGGAAAAUACAUAAAUGUUAAAUACUAGUGACAUUAUAAAAUAUAUGAUGUUGUAAUUAUAUGACAGAUUCUUCUGUGAUCUUAGUUAUGCAUUUACGCUAACCUAUAACAUUAAAUUAAAAAGUAGGAUAAAUUGAAAAUAUGCUAUAUGAUCUAAUUAUUUGAACCCACGUAAGCACUGUGAAAGUAUAAAAUAAAAUGAACAUCAAAAUUUAAAAUAGACUGUCUCCAUUUUCUGACUUCUUGGAAAUUUCAAUGUCGUCAUAAUAUAUUUUUAUAUUUUUCAAUGUUGAGUCAUCACCCGUUCCUUCUCAGGAUGCUCAUCAGCAGGAAAUGAAGUAAUGGAGACUAGAACUAGUAACUGAUAAGAGUUGCACGUUUCCCAUGUGGCAACUUCACUGCUGAGCCAAAUGCCUAACCUCAAUUUUUCUUUAAUGGCACUAAGGUCCUCAUCAAAUGUUGGCAUCACGCUCUUAGAAUUCUCAGCCUCCAGAACAGAUGCCCGUCAAAAUAUCCGUACCAAAAUGGCGUAUUUUCUGAGAGGCCUAUGCUGGUGCUUUUUAAUGGCAAGCAAGCACGGGUAAGGUGUCUAAUAUCAAAACUAGAGAAAUAGUGAAAUGCAAAUUAAAACUAUAGU